rnacentral:rRNA from 1 species
UACCAGCACCCCGAGUGGUCGGGACGUUUAUUGGGCCUAAAGCAUCCGUAGCCGGUUCUACAAGUCUUCCGUUAAAUCCACCUGCUUAACAGAUGGGCUGCGGAAGAUACUAUAGAGCUAGGAGGCGGGAGAGGCAAGCGGUACUCGAUGGGUAGGGGUAAAAUCCGUUGAUCCAUUGAAGACCACCAGUGGCGAAGGCGGCUUGCCAGAACGCGCUCGACGGUGAGAGAUGAAAGCUGGGGGAGCAAACCGG